UCCAGGUGAGCACAGACACCUAUCUUCACCUCCUGCCCUUUUUUUCCCAAGAGCAGCUGUCCUCUUGCUUCAGAGACUCAGGCAGAACACGCCUGCUCCUCAGGCCCUUGUUAAAAAACUCUGUCACAUGGAGACCUUCUCCUGCAGGCAGGUGGCCCAGCAGGGAUCCCCUUGUGACUGAAGUCAGAGUUUGCACAGACUCCUAAGAGGUUUUCCGAUUUCUCACUGCCCUGGUGGUCAGAGGAGGGAAUUAAGCAAAGGAAAAUGACCAGCUGAGCUUUUUGGAAGUCCAAAGGAACAAUGGCACACGCUCUCUCGCAGUCCUGUUGUAGAGUCAGAUGGCCAGGGCAAGGGACUCUUUGGCUUCCUUCCUUGUUCUGCAAGUCCCUUACCCACCGGUGGAGGCUCCCACUGUGACCAAACUGCUUUGCAACACCGAGUGGGAACUGGUGAACACCCUCACACCCCAAUCCGUCACUGUGUCAGCGAAAAGCCAAGGGACAACCCAGGCUGGCUGCGUGGGCGCAGGGAACCGUCUGGACAGUUUGCUAGCCCAGGUAGAUCAAUGCCUCUCUGGAGAAGGGAGGCGACGCGGAGGCUCCCACAGUCUUGCCAUCUGUUCUCUGAGAGUUAGCCUCCAUUUCUCUCUUCACGCAAGGACAGCAUCUGUGGAGAGAUCUCUGAUCUCAUUCCUCGAGAUGUCAGUGCAUUUGUUGUCCAGCGUGGCUCCAUCUCACAGACCUUGAUCUUGAAGGAUGCUCCAACCACCUCCUCGGGCGGGCCUGUGGACUGGACUCAGAAAAUCCGGCUGUGUUCUUGUUCCUGUCAAGUCCCAGAAUCCCUUAGGUCUGUUCUCUUAUUUAUAAAGUUAGAAGAAUGGCUGGGUGGGGGUGGGGGGUAUCUCUCAGGGCUCUUUUAGCUCCAAAUGGCUACGAUUCUAUUUAGACUCAUUUGAAGAGCAGACAAUGGACUCUAUUUUUUGGUGGCACUGGUGACUGCCUUUUUAUAUGCAAAUGUGAACUGUGAAUCCCAAAAGGGACUGUGGAAAUGAACUGCCCCUAGUGGAGGGUCAUGGACCUUGAUGGAUGGACAAUACCAGCAGGCAAAGUAGGGGGAAAACCCGAGAGGUCACGGAACCAAGUGGAAUUUCAAUGAAGGGGACGGCGAGUGAAUGAGGUAAACAGAACCUGAGUCAAGUUUAUUGAGUCCUCUAGCUAAGGGCAUGAUGGAAACCAGACUGCUUAGUUUCUCCAAGUGUAUGCCAAUAUGGCAAUAGGAAAAAUGAUUGGACGGUAAUAUAAAUUUUACAACAUUGGGAAAAACAGAGUUGAGUUGAUGCCUUAAGGCCAGUCAUCUGAGCGGUGCCUUUUCAGAGUGGACAAGGGCUCUUGGGAUAGUUUCAUGCUUUCAGGGGUAACCAAAAAAAAUUAGGUUAUAUGGUCAUUUGCUUGAGGUAUGUCCCCCAUACGCAGAGGCUUUAGACCCUUGAUCCCUGGUUGGGGAGGGACCCUUGCUGAUGGAAGUUUGUCAAGGGGUGCAGACUUGAGAGUUCGUAGCCUCACCCCACUUCCAGUUUGUUUUCCCUGCUUCCUGUGUCUCCAUGGACAUGCUAUCUAUCAGCUUCCGGUUCUGACUGUUUGCUCAUGAUGGACUCUGAUCAGCCUGGAACCGUACAUCAAACUGAGCACUUCUUUCUAUAAGUUGUCUGGUUUUGAUAUUUCUCCCAGCAAUAAAAAGUAAUUAAUACAGGUUACUACUUUUUAGUUCCUUCCUGAGCUGUAAAUGAUACGCAAAGCAAAAUAUCCUUACAGUGAAGCGAGACUAACACACACGCAGACACACACAUGCUUUACAAAAACGAUUGCUUUCUGUGUAUAGUCUAUUGUCUCAAUGAAGACAUAUAGGUUGUUCAUGCUGGUAGGGCCUUGAGAUCCUUACCUGGAGCUGCACAGGCAGACAUUAGCAGUGGAAUAGAUGCAUGUACACUAUUUUGCGGGAUGCAAACCAUUUGCUGCUUCUCUAAAGUAAUAGCAUUAACCCAAUUUGUCAAUGGAUCCAUUCCCUCAAUAGACGACAGUCCCUUAACCAGGCACGGUGGCACAUUCCUUCAAUCCAGACACUCUCAAGGCUAAAUUGGAAGGACCAAGGUUAAAACUUUGUUUGCUUGUGGUAGUGAUAACACAAACAACGCCAAAACCGUAAUAACUGAAUGAGUCUUCUUGUAGAAGAAUGAUUAAUUGCCAUUAUUGACUCUAUAUUAUAUAUCACCUCUGGGACUAUCUAGGAGUGUGUUUCAGGUUUAACUGCGUGUGAUGGCUAGUCUUGGCUGUACACUUGACAUACCUCAAUUGAAGGACUGCUUCUAUCAGGUUGCUCUUGAUGGUGAUGCUUAAAUGAUUCUUGAUGACAUGAAAGCCUACAGCAUUCUGGGCAGAACAGCUCCUGGCAGGUGGGUCUGGGGCAUAUAAGAAAGGUAGCUGGACAGUAGGUAGCAUUCAUCCAUUGGUUUCUUUUUUCAAGUUCUUGUCUUGAGUUCCUGCCCUGGCUUCCAUAAAUGAUAGGCUGUAACCUGUAAGCCAAACAAUGCUUUUUCUUCCCAAGCUGGCUUUGGUCAGCGUCUUAUCACAGUAACAGAUAGCAACCUAGGACAACUGUUGAUGGAAGAAUCCCUUUGAGUUUAUACCACAUCAUCCUAUGAGCAGGUAUCUCAGCCUGGAUAAAAAGACAAGAGCGAGACAAGGGCAAAGUGCUAGUACUCACCAGUUACAUCUUCCUUAAUGUGAUCAGCUAACUCAGGCUCCUGUCACCACACUGGUCGUGGAGGACUGUGUCCUUCAAACUGUGAGCUAAAACAAAUCUCCGAAGACAAGAAACUAAGCUUGAGGCAGUCAAAAGAACUGCUAAACAUUGGCAUUUUUUU
rnacentral:sRNA from 1 species